rnacentral:misc_RNA from 1 species
AAAAUUAAAACCGAACCAAACCAAAUUAAUAAAAUUUGGUUUGAUUCAGUUUAAAGCAACCCAAAUUUAUCAAAAUACAUAAAAAUCAAUCCACAAUCCCAUACUAAACGUACAAUUCUUCUCAUCUUUCCAAUCCCCAGUUCCCCUCCCCAAAUCAAUUUUGUAUCACCAAACAAACACGACUCAACAAUUCAAAAACAACAUAAAUCAAAUAAUAAAAAUGAUAAUACCCAUUAAAACCAAAUUUAAACUUACAACAGAUUCAAUUACAUUUUCAACAAAAAUAAACAAUACAAAUGAUAAUACCCA